CGCAGAUGGGCGGGCCGAGAGGCCCGUUAAUGCGGCUGUCUGGUCCAAAGCCCAG
rnacentral:ribozyme from 1 species